rnacentral:rRNA from 1 species
GUAGGUGGCAAGCGUUGUCCGGAAUUAUUGGGCGUAAAGCGCGCGCAGGCGGUUCUUUAAGUCUGAUGUGAAAGCCCACGGGCUCAACCGUGAGGGUCAUUGGAAACUGGAGAACUUGAGUACAGAAGAGGAAAGCGGAAUUCCACGUGUAGCGGUGAAAUGCGUAGAGAUGUGGAGGAACACCAGUGGCGAAGGCGGCUUUCUGGUCUGUAACUGACGCUGAGGCGCGAAAGCGUGGGGAGCAAACAGGAUUAGAUACCCUGGUAGUCCACGCCGUAAACGAUGAGUGCUAAGUGUUAGGGGGGUUUCCGCCCCUUAGUGCUGCAGCUAACGCAUUAAGCACUCCGCCUGGGGAGUACGGCCGCAAGGCUG